UGAAAGAGUAUGAGUGAAAGCUAUCAUUGCAUUUAAUAAAAUCACCCAUUUCACGUUGUAAUUAAAAAUUUUAAUCUCAAAAACUGUUCUGUUAAUCAACUAUAGCUCAGGAAAUCAAUAAUUUUUUUGGAAUUAAUUUUGAUUAUUUUCGACUUUUUAUUCAUUCCAGAUUUAAAAAUCUGAAGCCUUUUUCAGAUUCUCUUAUUGUGAUCACAUGCUUAAUAUCUAUCAAUCAUUAACCAUGGGCAAAGGACAAAGAUCAGAAGGCAACACUAGGCCUGGCAGUUCUUGUGCAUCUCAUCUGCACAAUUUUUAUCACCAACUCUUGGAAUUACAAUAAUCAAUAGAUUCAUUGGAUUUGAUGAUGUGAAAGAACCAACUGAUGGACCUAUCGCCGAUUCCAGUCUUGGCUCUCUGGUUGAGGAGGAAGAAGUUGACACCAAUUUGACACCAGCUAAUGAUCAAAAAAAUGUAUAAAAAGGAAGCUUUGCCCAAAAAAUCAGGCAUAAAUAUUGCAUAAAUCUUCAAGCAAGAAAUUUGGGUCGUUUACGUCGCGAUUCACUCAUGCUGUUUCAGCUUGUGCUGCUAGAUCAUCUCUUUCAAUAUUCUUAUCCGUUGAAAUGUUGGAAAAGAGGUAAAGAUGGAGAUAAAGAUGAAAAUGUCCAUAAGACGAAUAAAAUAUUAACCCCUUGUUAUUAUUUUUGUUUCGACAUUUUCAACAAUCUUUAUCAUAAUCAUCUUUAUCUCUUUUCAACAUUUAGGUAGUGAAUGCUUGAACCUUACUUACCACAACACCUUUUUAAUGUUAUCCAAAAUGUUAUUCAAUGAAUUGAAGAAAUUGCGCGAAUUCGAAAGUUUUUCUUGAUAAUUUUGAUAGAGUCAUCAGUAAAUAUUGUAAAAGUUUUAAUGUCGUUCGAAAUAAACAUUUAUAACAAUA